GGUCUCAAACUCCUAAACUCAAGCGAUCCACCCCCGCCUGGGCCUCCCAAAGUGCUGGGAUUACAGGUGUGAGUUGCCCCACCCAGCCGUGAUUAAUUUGGGCUUUCAACACCCUAAAAUGGGAGAAGGUGGUAGCAUAGAGUGUGUAUGACUGAUUGUAUUUACAUUUGUUGCAAUUUGAAGAAAUGUAGUUAGAAGUCCAUCUGCAGAGAGAUUAUGACCAUCGCUUCUGUCUGACCAAGGUCUGUUUUCCUGAUCGGUUGGAUGCCUCAGCGUGCAUUCCCAGGACUUUAUGAGAUGAUCCACUGAAGGAUUUCAGCAAGAACAUUCUGGAGUGUCAACUGAUACGUUUUUCAGUCUCAGCUUGCUCACUGUUUGAGUAGUGUCACAUGUACAUGCGUGUUAUUAGAGGCGAAUGCACGUUUUUGUUACUGAGAGAGUGGCCCUAGAGCAGAUGCCAGCGAACUGCAGCCCACAGCCCGAAUCUAGCCUGCCGCCUCUUUUCAUGUGGCUCACAAGCUAGUCAUAGUAUUAUAUUUUAAUAGUGUGGGAAAACAUCAGAAGAAGAACAAUAUUUUGUGGAACAUGAAAAUUAUAUGUUUACAUUUUAGCAUCCAUAAACGUGGUUUCAUUAGAACACACUUCUAUGGUUUGAAUGUCCUCUCCAAAACUCAUGUUGAAACUUAGUCUCUAACGUCACUAUAUUAAGAGAUAGGGCCUUUAAGAAGUGAUGGGGGCAUGGGAACUCUGCCCUCAUGAAUGGAUUAAUCUAUUCAUGGAUUAAUGGAUUAAUGCAUUAAUGGAUUGGUGGUUUAUCAUCGCAAGGAAACUGGCAGUUUUGUAAGAAGAGGAAGGGAGACAGUGGCAGGGAAACUGGCGGCUUUGUAGCAAGAGGAAGUGAGACUUGAGUCCUCUCACCACAGGUUGCCCUGCACCAACCACCACAGGACUCUGUAGAGAGUCCUGGCUAGCAAGAGGAUCUUCACCAGAUGUGGCCUCUUGACCUGAGACUUCUCAGCCUCCAUAACUGUUAAGUUUCCUGGAGAAUUCUGAAGGAUAUGCCCCCUUCCUCUCCUACAGCUCAGAGUUGUUCUGUGCACUUGGAUCAGCCUCCACAACUUCCCCCCGGGACAGGGCACCCAUCACCAUCUCCUACCUGGACAGCAGCAAACACUGCCCCCGUGACUUCCUGGUGCCAUCCUUGGCUCCAUUACGUCCAUUCUCCAGUGGCUGGCAGAGUGAGCUUGAAGAACGUGUGACAUGCCCUUCAGAAUGUUCUACUUCCUGUUCCAGAAGGACAGCCCCUCAUGCCUUCCCGCGGGCCACACGCCACCUCUUCCUCAGUGCCCCAGCCUGGCAUCCUCUUCCUGCAUUCAGCCUUCUUUUCCGAGGUGUCAUCUUGCUGGAGGGCAGAAGGAUUCCCUGGAACCUGGGGGCCAGCAGGACAGAGGAAACAGAAAGUACAUGACCGAUGAUGUCUUUCGACCACAGAAAGGGCUGGAAGAAGCAGGGGACCUACUGUUUGAAUAAACCCAGUGGAAAAACAGAAGCCCCAUUUCAUACUUGACUCAGCUCUUCAAGUUUAAAUCUUGAAUCUCCUCAACUACACGGAACAGUGUCUCUCCCAAGUCAUCUGACACCCACUCUGUUCUCUGGAUCAUUCCUUCCUAGAGAACGUUGCUCUUGGAGGGCUGUGAUCUGCUCUCACCCACUUGCCUUUCUGACCCACUGAGUGCAUCUCAACAGUCACUUGGGGUGAUCCGAUCUGACCAGGAAGGGUUGGGUGGCUCGUGGAGCUUGGGAAGCACUCUCACUGUGGCGGUCCCCAUUGGUGGUCAUGGGGUUGCCACAGUGAGCUACGUUUCUACCCUCAUCUCUCUAUAUGUUACCGUGGAAUCUCUGACUGAGGACCCAUGGGCUCACCCAAUGUGAUAAAGUCCUGAAGCUCAGCCGGGACGUCCGACCCCAGCUGCAGGACUUUCCAAUAGACAGAUGCAUAGAACUUGAGAAGAAAUCGACUUAGAAACCUGAAGUUGGAAAACUGGUUGCCUGACAUUCUGUGCAAGACUGAAUCUCUGAGAAAUGAAGGCUGUGUAACUUUGGGACCAUGUCUUUUCCAGCCUACAUAGACCCCCAGGAAACUUUGCAGUUGUUCCCCAAGUAUGGAUGGAGUCAAACUUGAUGUCCUUUCAUCCCCCCAUCCCAUCCACUAAUCCAUAUCCUUUGGAAAUUUUAGAGUGCCGGGCCUCAUGUAAAUACACCAAAAACAAUUUAAGUCAUUUAUGUUCUACUAAGCCAAGAGUUCUUUAGCGGUGGAAGAAGAUGGGGUCUUACACGAAUGGAAGGGUCUUGGCUAUUUGCGUCGGUAUCAACAGAAGGACUAGACGCUUGCACUAAAAGAAAAAGCUGAGGGAUGGGGGCAGGAAGCGGGAAGCUGGGACCCAAGCCCCACCUUCCUGAGUUGGAAGGUGACAGGUAGACUCCUGCUUGUUUGCCAGAGAGGCCUGGCAGAGGAGGUGCAUCCCAGCACAGAAGGGCAGCACAGAGGCAGCCUGAGAAGAUUCUGUCGCUGCCAGGUCACCAGGACCUCUGGACCACAGCUGGGUUGCGCUGUUUUCCAGUUUGUGAAACUAGGACUUUGGGGAACAUCCUGUGAAUUGGUGUCAUUUUGAUUUUCCUGGAGGAUUUUUGAGGUCAGCGUGACUGCUGUCACUAACUAAAAUAAAAUCCGAAGUCCCCAAGUGACUGAACAGACCCCCUCUUGGCCAAGGGGACCCCAGAGAAACCUGAAAGCUGAGCUCCCAGCCAUGAGGGGACGGGCGAUCGGACACGCUUCAUCACAGUCCCUCCCCUUUGUGGUUUAAACGACGAUGAUCGGCUGUCAUGCUAAAAUAGAGACACGAGACCGACAGCACAGACUCCUUAUGGCAAUAAGACACCAAAUUAUAAGCAGCACCUCAGGCCACGCCAGCUAAACACGCACCGGCCCCGAGAUUCAAACGACUGCAGCUCAUCCACCUGCAGACGCUGGCUGACCCCGUUCCACAGCUGUGACUAUAGCUUUGAUUGGACAAGAGGUUGAUUUCAGUCUCCUGGUAAGAGACCACCAACCAUAGACCUGGUUCAGGCUGAUUAUAGAAGCUGCACACUUGUAUGCCUUCGAGUCCCUGCCUCACCUUUUGACGUGUAGGGACUCAUUGUAAUGCUUUUAAAUGUGAAGCCUCCACCCCAAAGUGAACAUGGGACGCAUGUAACGUGCAUGUUCAGUGGGCACGGCUCAGGACUCUCUUUGUGAAUAUUCAUAGCUCCUCCUGGAACCUGAAUAUGUAUGUUUGGCCAGCUCAAUUCAGCAUGAGGCUCCUGCUGCAACACCGCCUCCUUCCAGGUGCCUGCCAGCUGUUUCUGCCAGAGGCUGCGUCUCCCGGCCUGUCAGAAUGGCCACCCUGCAGGCUGUAAUCCUUUAGAAGAAAUAAAGAUCCCCUUUCCAGAUGUAUAGAUCUUGUGAUUUUUUUCCAUUCACAUCCUUGCAUCUUAUAAUGCCCUGUCUCCAUGGGGGUUACAUAGAAAGCCCUCAGCCUCUAGGGCAGAUGGAGCCAGGACUGAGGGUGGGGGUGGAGAAGGAUCAGGAGACUCACUUCAAGGACUUUCUGGUGCCGGCAGUGUAGGCUUGCCAGAUGAAAUACAGGACACCCAGCAACAUGAACUUUCGUAAUUUUUAUAGUGUAAAUGUGUUCCAAAUAUUGCAUGGGACAUGCUUAUCCUGAAGAAUUAUUCAUUGUUUAUCUGAAAUCCAAAUUUAACUAGGUGUCCUGUAUUUUUAUUUGCUAAAUCUGGUGACCCUUCACUGGGGAGACGCUUUUAAACAGCCUCAACUUAGAAAUUCUUCUCUUCCUGCCAAAAGCGCUAGGGUCUGUAUAUGGGUGCAUGGAAACACGAAAUUAUUGUCACAGGACUGAAGAGUAUGAAAGACUUCUAGUAACCACCAGCUGUGGCAGGGGCCUGUGCAGGGGGUACCCUGGCAGGGAGGAAGCUGCCUUAAUUUUCAACCUCGGACAGAAAAGCGCAUCUGUUAGACACAGCAGAAAGCAGACCUACAUGUAUGGUUAAUAAGGACUAUGUAUUUGACUGCUGUGGGUUCAAUUGUGUCCCUGCGAGAGACACAUUGAAGUCCUAACCCCUGCUGCUUCAGCAUUUGGCUUUAUUUGGAAAUAAGGUCACUGCCAGUGCAGUUAGCUGAGAUGAAAUCAUACUGGUGUCUGGUGGGCCCUUAUUCCAAUAUGACUCGUGAUAUCACAAGAAGAGGAGGACAGACACAGAGACACACUCCAGAGGGAGAAGGCCAUGUGACAGCCACGGACUGCUGGAAGCAGCGGAAUCUAAAGGCAAGGCAGGGAACAGAUUCUCCCUCCCAGUCCUUCGAGAGAACCAACUCUGCCGACAGCUUGAUUUCAGAAUUCUGGUUUCCAGAACGGUGAGAGAAUAAAUUCCUGUUGUUUUAAGCCUCCCGUUUGUGGUGCUUUGUUAUGGCAGCCCCAGGGACUAAUGCAGUCACCGUCACUUGAUUGCAGACAAAACGACUGAGGGUUCUCUGCAAUGAAUUUCAAGUUCUGAAUUGAAAGAGGCUUCAGAGCCUGAAGAAAGAGGCGAUGCCAGCACUCUCUGGAGUGGGAUCCACAGAAGCAGAGAAAGCCCAGGGGAUGAGCCAACCCAGAAUCCAAACGCCCGUGGAUCGGGCCAGACCCAGGACGGCGCUAUCUUGCACACCCAUCACAGGCUUGGGGACACUAGAACUGCACUGUCAGAUAUUCCUGACUUCAUGUGUGUGUGUUUGUGUGUGUGUAGAUCAGGCCAUAUGAUUUACUUGCUGCACUCUGAGCGAUGCUGUGUAGAUAAAGCUAUAUUAUCUAUUUGCUACACUCUGAAUAAUGCCUUCCUCAGUGAUAAUCAUAAUCAAGUGAGCUUUGGAUUGUCAUUAUGAAGUCUCAAAUUAAAACAAUUGGUUGAGAUACUGCCAGCAAGGCAACUAGAUCGGGGAUUGCAGCUGCUGAUGCCAGUCUAGUAUUUAGGUAAGAGGAUGCCUCCACCCUCUUAGAGCAUGUGGCUUGCACAUCCAUUCUUUCAGUGCAGGAAGGGCUGGAGUGUCCACUCCCUACUCCCAACCCCAUCAGUUGUUGUAUGGUCCAAAAUGCAAAGUAAUUUUAAUGUGAUCCAAGAUGCAUAUAAAAACAUUUUAAAAACAGAUAUGUUAUGCAUUGCUUAGAAUGAUGCACCAUCCGCUUCAUGAACAAGCAAGAACUAACUCUAUCAUUGACUUCAUCCACAAAUACUAGAGGUGAUGAACUUGAGGUCAAAGUUCCGAAGUCAGACAGCAUGGGUUUAUUCAUCGCCUGCUAUGUGCAAAUCCUAGAUGUCACCAGGCUCUGCUCACUUGGUGUCUUGGCCACUCUGGGUGAUGUUUACACAAGGCUUGGUGGCUUUGAGAUGGGUUGCAAACAAGAGAUAUCAGUUGUUGGACUUUUGCUUAUAGCUUGGGGUUGGACAUCCUCUAUCCCUCGAUACCUCCUUGCACCCAUCAGCCGUUAUCUUUGAAGGAAACUUUUUCCUUGAGUCUGGUUCCUUGUCUUCAGGUUCUAACCUCAUGGUUUUGGAUCCUUGUCCCUAUGGUUGUGAUCCUUCCUGUCCUUGGCUCUAGUGCUCUUUUUUUUUUUUUUUUCUAUUUCUUUCCUCUACCUGUGCACAUGACCUCUUUGAAGAGCUCACCUCCUCCAGGAAGCCUCCCUGGAAUCACCCUUUUGCCUUCCAUUCUCCUUGUUUAUACAGUCCAUGUCAGUAUAUCCAAAUUGAAUUAUCGCGGUGUGCUGCUUUGCAAUGUGUAUCUGAUUUCACCAAAACCCUCUACUGUCUCUAAUCCCGGGUAUCCAAUUUCAUGUGAAGUUCAGUGAUGUGCUCCUCCCUCCUCCUCUUGCACGCAUGAGCAGGUACUCAACACUUUCUGGUCCAGCUACAUGUGACAUGAGGCCACUCACGCUCUUUUUAAUUAACCCUUAUGACAAUCAUGUGCGUUAUGGAGAAAAUUAAUGGAGGAAAAAUUACAGAGUCACCCGAAACAGUUGCGCUGCUUAUCACCCGGUGUUUGAGCCUGUUUCCCCUGUAAUUAGAUUACAUGUGAGGCAGCCCCAGCUAAUUGUCUGUGCCACCCACCGGGGAACUCCAGCUCUAUCUGUGAACACCCAGGCCUUCCCGCCGCAGGACAGAUGUUGGGUGAGGCUUGCCUCCCACGCAAACAUCUGCUCUGUUGUUCCGAGUCAGUCACGAGAGCCAGCCGGCUUAGACAAGCAGGGGAUGAAUUCCUGGGCGAGAUGCUUGAUCCUGCCAAGUUUCUGAGCACCAGGCUUGGGCCUCUUGAACAGUUCCCUGCAUCUUCCAUGAUCGGCCAGUGCCUCUGCUUCUGCAUUUAGAAACCAGAGUUCACUUCUGGUGGCCUCAAGCCAAAAUGAGUCUACGAACCAGAAGUCUCUUGACAUUGACACUGAUAAACUUUGAUAUGGAAGCAUUUUUGUUUUUGGCAACCAUCAAUUUUUUUUUGUUUUUCCUCAAACACAUGCAUGGAUGAUGUGAGAACCGGUACCUGGAAACUGAGAGACUGCCGCAUGUGUUUCGGGCUCCCAGCUCUAUCCAUAACUGUCUUUGGGGGCUUCCUAGGCAACCUGG
rnacentral:lncRNA from 1 species